GUGUCCGAAUGCAUACGUAAACGCUCAUGGAACGACAGCUCAUGGAAAUGUCAUUGAACGCGGAACGAGCGCUUCCUGGGGUGACAUAUUGUCUCUGAAAACACCAUAGGCGAAGAUUUAUGGAUUUUGAGACAGAACCCGCGUCCCGUCGAGUUAAUCGGGCCUGGUGUCAGUGCUUUCAUCCGACGCGGACGAAGGAAACUCGGAAUAUGACGAAAUAUAAAUGGAGGAUCGACAACACGUAAACGGCGAGCUGGGCAAACAAUUCUUGAUGGACGCGGAAGCGGAUGAACAGGGUUGGGGGCUGAUCUGAAGUUGCAGAAUUGCAUCGAGGGGACCAGAAGGAAUUUCGCGGAGUUUAACUGAAAAGGGAAGUAGAACGGACAUCCGAACGGCAGUCUGUUGGCGAGAGAGAGGGAGAGGAGGCGAAGGGUGGCGGAAAGGAGCGAGGGAGAGGUCGAAGGACGGAGGACCGAGUUUGUUGGAUUGAAUCCGCGAGAAGCCGUGUCAGGGUGUCAAUUCAAAGCGCGGUAAUCUCUGCUCAACGCAGCCAAUAAUCGGCUUAUUGAUUUCGAUUCGUGGGACACCUAAGGCCCCGUGCACACGGAAUCUCAUUUAGGAGCUUGCGUUCCUGGAGCCCUCGAACUGCCGGCAGAGUCUAUCGAGAACGUCCUCGAAAGCUGGGAGAUGGAUUACGAAUUUUUAGGGGACGUCAAAGGGACCGCCAGUCCAUCGAGAAUGUCCUGGCAAACGGGAAGCGGAUUACGGACUUCGAGAGGACGUCAAAGGGACCGCCAGGCGGGCGCCGAAAAUCCACCCGACGCGAUCAGCCGCAGCCUCGGAUUUUCCUCUCCCCGUUGACGCUGUCCAGCGUGGCAGUACACGUCGACUCGUUGCAGUGCAAAUGAUUUCCAAAUGAGCGAGCGGUUCGUUGUCGAAUCGGCCGGUAAUCGGGCCACGCUCUGUUUGACUUUUUGGGGCGGGUUGAGCGCGGCCGGGGGGUGUUAAAAGGAUGGCCGAUUUAAUGCGUCCCAAAGGCGCUUCCGCUCGAUCAGUCCUCGGAUAACUGACAAUUAUCGUCGUGGUCGGUCCGCGGAAUUUUCGCCCGUUUGGCAGCGAGCCUGCGUUUACCGCCGAGAGGGUGCAUGUUGGUUUUGCCCGAUGUGGACGGGGCUUAACGCGCGGUCGUCGCCGCUCGGGAUCCCGAAAACCCGCUAAAAGUGCCGGUUUUAACGUAAACCGGUUAUGUCGAAUCAAUGUCGAAUUUAAAGCUAAGCGACGAACGUCACGGCACUCGUCGAAGCGCCGUUUAACGCGCUCGUUAGACGUCGGGGACCAGGGUUGAAAGUACCCCUAGGAAAGACGGAUGCACCUGCUGUCUACAUCCUCGUUCAUACACUUUAUCCUUAUCUUCCGUGUCCAUUCGAGUCCCCAUCUAUCUUCAUCGGAGUUCUAUAUCCCUGCCUCUACCCACUUGCACUCUGGAUUCGGCCGUCCAUCGAUUUCUCCCGGAGAAGUUUGUCGGGCGCCCGUACGGUGCAUCGGUGCAUUGUUAAAAAUAGCCGGACCGAAUCCGACGCGGAAGCGACUGCCCCACCGGACGCGGAAAUCCGUCUUCGAGGCCCGCGAAGGCCAAACCGACACCUGCGAUCAAAUUCCCGGACUAAACCGAGCCUGCCCAAAUUUCUCAUGCCACGUUCUUUCACCUUCUCCCCGUCCAUCCGGAGUGCAUUUUCCUCGUCCGGAUUGUAUACCGCGUUACCUGUCGAUUUUCUCUUCCCGCGCCACAUAUUCAUAUCUCACCCCAAAAACUUAUAGCGAAAUAUACAUUUUGUAAAAUUCCGCUAAAUUUCAGCUUCCGAUUUUUUGCGCAGGAGUUACACGUCGAGUGGUAUAAAUAGGGAUUUUUUAUUGCAGCGCAAUUGUACUUAAAUUACAUAAAUGUCAGCUGAUCUCGUUUAGGGCCAUUUGCGCUCUGCCUACGUCUUUCCUGGUUAUGGGAGUCGUGGGGACCCGUGGAAAUUCUAGGGAAAUUCUAUCUUCGGCCAUCCUGCUCGCACUUCCAUCUAGUCCACCUUAUGCAGUGCCAGGUAGCCCCGUGCACGCGUGUGCGGCCACCCUCCUCGGCGUGAACGUGGGCGCUUUAUGGUGUUAUUCGAGCGACAAAUUGAACUAAAAAUAAUCCUUUACGCGGCACCCUAGGCCGUUCAUGCAUGCGAGAGGAGGUAGAGCGACUCUUUGAAGUGGCCGCGCCGGGGCGAAGUCGUACCCAUGCAUUAUGCACGUACCUUGCCCCGGCGUCCCGACGCCCUGGCCAUCCGUGACCUACGUGC
rnacentral:lncRNA from 1 species